GACGAACGCUGGCGGCAUGCCUAAUACAUGCAAGUCGAGCGAACAGAUGAAGUGCUUGCACUUCUGACGUUAGCGGCGAACGGGUGAGUAACACUAAGGAAUCUACCUAUAAGCGGGGAUAACAUUCGGAAACGGGUGCUAAUACCGCAUAAUAUCUUCUUCCGCAUGGAAGAAGAUUGAAAGACGGCUCUGCUGUCACUUAUAGAUGACCUUGCGGUGCAUUAGUUAGUUGGUGGGGUAAUAGCCUACCAAGACGAUGAUGCAUAGCCGACCUGAGAGGGUGAUCGGCCACAUUGGGACUGAGACACGGCCCAAACUCCUACGGGAGGCAGCAGUAGGGAAUCUUCCGCAAUGGGCGAAAGCCUGACGGAGCAAUGCCGCGUGAGUGAAGAAGGCCUUCGGGUCGUAAAACUCUGUUAUAAGAGAAGAACAAAUUGUAGAGUAACUGCUACAGUCUUGACGGUAUCUUAUCAGAAAGCCACGGCUAACUACGUGCCAGCAGCCGCCGUAA
rnacentral:rRNA from 1 species